CCCUUAGAUGUCCGGGGCCGCACGCGCGCUACACUGAAGGAAUCAGCGUGGCUUUCUCCCUGACCCGAAAGGGUUGGGAAACCCGUUGAAUCUCCUUCGUGAUAGGGAUUGGGGCUUGAAAUUGUUCCCCAUGAACGAGGAAUUCCCAGUAAGCGCGAGUCAUAAGCUCGCGUUGAUUACGUCCCUGCCCUUUGUACACACCGCCCGUCGCUACUACCGAUUGAACGGUUUAGUGAGGGCCUCGGAUUGGUCUCGGCCCGCUCUUUACCGGGCGGCGCCGUUGGUCGAGAAGUCGCUCGAACUUGAUCGUUUAGAGGAAGUAAAAGUCGUAACA
rnacentral:rRNA from 1 species